UUCAGUAAGAGCAUCCCUAAGACUAAUCUCACAUCAGAUGCAUGAUUUGUCUGGAGCUGAGCCAACGUCUGAUGGAUUUGCUAAGGACAAAGCCAGGCUUAACAAUAAUGUCAUCCCCAAGCCGUCCUGCCAACUCCUGCUGAAGGAUCAUUAACAAACCCAAGAUGCCUCCAAUCUUUGCAGGAUUCGGCUUGUAUUCUUCAUGAAGUAAACGUCACUCCGUUACGUACCUGAUGCAGUGGGCAGCUGUCAUCACCCAGUUGGUUGCAAUGAGGGUUCCUCCACAAGUAUGGUACCAUUUGCCGUUUGAACUGUACUGAAGGGAGGCCUAGGAUCAACAGAACAACUCCAGUCACAUGUGUGUCAGCGUGCCAUACUUCUUCAAUAAACCAACUGCACUGGCUUUGAAGUGGAAGAUGUUUCAAGCAGCAGAGCCCCAGCUGUCAGGGAUGACAGAAAAGCACUGGCGCAGCACUUCUGGUCUACUCUAAAUAGGCUCAAGUAUCUUGGACUCAGAGGGCAUCGUGCUGUUGGCAGUUCUGCAAGUGAACAUCAAAAGCCUCAGCCUCCAGCUGAUACCAUGGUGGCUGGAAACAGCUCCCCAGAAGCUCUUACCAUCUUCAUGCCAGAUGUUUCACAGCAAGUGAGCAGUUCUUGGACCUUCACUAAGAAAGAGCAGGAAUUUCUGGUAUGUUCUGUUAAAAUAUAAUAGCUAAUAUUUCUUUUGCUACAAUUUAUAAUGUGCUCCGUUGCUUCCCUAUCGUCAGUCUGUUCCCUUGCAGGGCAGUAACUAUGCUGGAAUUACACUAGACCAAUUAGUAAGUGGA